UACUCCGUGAAUCGGAGGCGGGGUA
rnacentral:ncRNA from 2 species